GUAGUCUCGCACAGAUGCAUAUCAAUAAGCGGAGGAAAAGAAACUAACAAGGAUUCCCCUAGUAACGGCGAGUGAAGCGGGAAGAGCUCAAAUUUGAAAUCUUAAAGGGUUUCCCUUUACGAAUUGUAGUUUAAAGAAGUGUUUUCUGUUGAGGUUUUGGUAAAAGUUCUUUGGAAUAGGACAUCAUAGAGGGUGAGAAUCCCGUAUUUGACCUUUACUUUCAACUUUGUGAUACACUUUCAAAGAGUCGGAUUGUUUGGGAAUGCAGUCCAAAAUGGGUGGUAAAUUUCAUCUAAAGCUAAAUAUUGGCGAGAGACCGAUAGCGAACAAGUACCGUGAGGGAAAGAUGAAAAGAACUUUGAAAAGAGAGUUAAACAGUACGUGAAAUUGUCAAAAGGGAAGCGUUUGACACCAGUGUUGUUUUUCUGAAAAUCAAUUAAAGAACUGUUUAUGCUAAGCUUGUUUAGACUUUAUCAGGCUAACUGUUUAGUUUUGAGCUUUUCUUUAAUGCACUUUUCAGUUAACAAGUCAACAUCAAUUUCUUUUGCUGUAAAAAAGCUUGAGGAAGGUGGCUUGAGAUUCGUCUUAAGUGUUUAUAGCCUCUUGCCUAUGCAGUCGGAGAGAUUGAGGUCUGCAGCGUAGAUCCUUCGGGGCUAAAUGCAUUUGUGCUAAGUUAUAGCAUUUUAUAGACAACUUGUUGACUAUGAUUUGUCUUGUAGCUUACUCGCUUAUGUUAUUUUACCUACGCUUAGGAUGUUGAAGACUCUACAGAGAU
rnacentral:rRNA from 1 species